UGUGAUUGUUGGCUGACAGACCUAGUUACCAUAAUAUAAAUGUGCGAGCAGCUGCUUCAUUCCACAUCAUAUGUGGAUGCAAAAAAUUGCUCUGGUUUUCUGGUGGUUGUAGAGAGAAGAUAUAUGGAGACCACAAAUUGUCCCUCGUUACUGGUCCCUGAAUAGGGACAUGCUUGCUUUGACUCCAAUGGAACGCAAUCAAUUGUUCCAAUCGGCUGGCCGGCAGUAACUGGGAUGUUUUACUCCAUCGAAAACACGGCGUGACCGUGCGAGUCAAGAAGGAAUACAGCCCUUCUGUUCAUUUUGACAGCAGCUCGGAUGGAUGUACUCCAGUACUGUGUCGUUUUUAGUUCGCUGUUGUGUUCUGAGCAGCCAGUUGGCAACGACGUACACAGUCAAGCCAUUCUGCUGCUGCUUCGUUCUGUCCACCUAAGGUAAAACCAUAAUGGAGCUGAUUUGAAAAGAAAACUACUGACGACGAGGCGACAAGGAUGGAUAGAUGGAUCAACUUUAAAAAUAAAUGAGAUGUGCGUGAAACAUCUCGUUCUUUUGGUGAUGUCCUGAAACGAGGUUGGCGCAGGUGCACGUACACACCACACAUGUGAUUCAGUGUGACUUCUUGAAAAACGGAUUCAACAAAGAGUGCUAGGUACAAAUCCGUCAUCAUCACAAAAUUCAUACUGAAGCUAGAUAGCCUAACAAUGUUCAUAUUUCAUAUGGCUAGACGAAAUUAAAAAACUGAACCAAUAUUCUAAAUGAUAUGCUACAAGUCUACGACACACUCAACCUCUACUACUGUAGCAGCGGAAUAAUGGAGUACACAUAUAUCGUCAUCAGUGCAUAUAUUCAUUAAUAUUUCUGGGUGUCCAAAUAAAGGUACGAAUAAUACUAGAAACAUAUGGACGGGAUGUAUGUAAUACGAUACUCACUUUUGCUUACUGCCUACUCCAUUAUAUUUGUUGGCUGAAGGAGCAUAUGCAGUAAUCCAAAUGGAUAUACAAUAAACGCAGUCAUUGUCUCUCUUAGAUCCUGUCAGGCGUUUGGUGAAAUCGCAGGUGAAUUAGUAAACUAACUGUUCCAUCAAUAGAAAGCACCUCGUAAUCUAAUGAGAUUGGUGCUAACUAUUUAUAGCGGAUAAAAUCUCCCCAUCACAAAAUCCAAUUUGCAUACUUGAAUAAAUUAUAUAGGGCAUUAUGUACAACGUAAGUAGAUGUGGGCGUCAUGUCCGGACAUGGCCAGGUAGCUAAUAUAAUCUGUAGCUGCACCUUCAAUUCUGCAAGUGCAUAUAUUUUUGUACAGAGAUUUGCAUGUUUAACUACAAUAUAUAGCAAUGGAUAUAGAUUCAUGGUAUUAAAGUGCAUGUGCGACAAACCUGUGGCGGCUGUGGGUCAGGUCCCCUGCUUAUUUAAUCGCAUAUACGUCAUUGUACAAUAAUUAAUUAGUACAUAGUGCUGAUCUGCUAGCAGCAGCUAGAGCUGUUAGCUACUGGUAGUUGUUGCUUGCUGUUAAGU